rnacentral:rRNA from 1 species
UGGCUGUCGUCAGCUCGUGUCGUGAGAUGUUGGGUUAAGUCCCGUAACGAGCGCAACCCUUGUCCUUAGUUGCCAGCACGUAAUGGUGGGAACUCUANNNAGACUGCCGGUGACAAACCGGAGGAAGGUGGGGANGACGUCAAGUCAUCAUGGNCCUUACGGCCUGGGCUACACACGUGCUACAAUGGAACGCACAGAGGGCUGNAAAGGCGCGAGCUGGAGCGAAUCCCAUAAAANGUUUCGUAGUCCGGAUUGGAGUCUGCAACUCGACUCCAUGAAGUCGGAAUCGCUAGUAAUCGUCCG